UCGGUGUAUGAGGGAGUCCUGCGCGACGGGAAAAAGUUGGCAGUCAAGAAGCUCCACUCGAACAAAGGCCAGAAGCAGUUCAUCGCCGAAGUCGCGUCCCUGGGAACGAUAAGUCACGUAAAUAUAGUCAGGCUCUGUGGUUUCUGCGCCGAGCUAUCACACCGCUUACUGGUUUACGAGUUCAUGCCGAAUGGAUCACUGGACAAGUGGAUCUUUCGAAACCAAGAAGCGCCUCUCGACUGGGACCGUCGCUACAGCAUCGCGCUUGGAACAGCUCGGGGACUGGCAUACCUGCACGAAGAGUCAAGAGAACCGAUUAUUCACCUGGACAUAAAACCGCAAAACAUACUCUUGGACGAGAACUUCGAAGCAAAGGUCGGCGACUUUGGAAUGGCGAAGUUGCUGAUGAGCAGGGACGUUACCCAAGUCAUAACAGGAGUCCGAGGAACACCGGGCUACUUAGCU
rnacentral:lncRNA from 1 species